AGGUCAGAACAGGAAAUUUUAGGACCCAACGAUCAAUAUCUUCCCAAAAUAGUUGCUGUUUUUGCAGAGGUUUUAUGUGCCGGGAAAGAUCUGGGAACAUCGCAAACUGCUAGUAGAAUGAUUAAUCUGUUAAGGCAUCUCCAGCAAGCAUUAAAUGCAUCUACACUAGCAUCAACCUGGUCAUCUAAGCAGCCAUAGCAGCAGCUUGUAUUGCAAUCAAUUCUAUCAUCUUAGUUAUUUGUUGUUGAUCCUGGAAGAAGAUAAUAGCCACAUGACAUGGGUCCAUUCCUUUGGCCAAAAUAUGAGGUUGAG